rnacentral:rRNA from 1 species
GCAAGGAUGAAACUUAAAGGAAUUGGCGGGGGAGCACCGCAACGGGAGGAGCGUGCGGUUUAAUUGGAUUCAACACCGGAAAACUCACCAGCGGCGACUGUUACAUGAAAGUCAGGCCGAUGACCUUACUAGAUUUUCAGAGAGGUGGUGCAUGGCCGUCGUCAGUUCGUACCGUAAGGCGUUCUCUUAAGUGAGAUAACGAACGAGACCCUCACCAAUAGUUGCUACCCAGUCCUCCGGGGCUGGGGCACACUAUUGGGACCGCUGGCGCUAAGUCAGAGGAAGGAGAGGUCAACGGUAGGUCAGUAUGCCCCGAAUCUGCUGGGCUACACGCGCGCUACAAAGGGCGGGACAAUGGGCUCCGACACCGAAAGGUGAAGGUAAUCCCGAAACCCGUCCGUAGUUCGGAUUGAGGGUUGUAACUCACCCUCAUGAAGCUGGAUUCCGUAGUAAUCGCGAAUCAACAACUCGCGGUGAAUAUGCCCCUGCUCCUUGCACACACCGCCCGUCAAACCACCUGAGUUGGGUUUCAGUGAGGCUGCCUCUUUCUGGGGUUGUCGAACUGAGAUUUAGCAAGGAGGGUUAAGUCGUAACAAGGUAUCU